GGGGUAGGUUGCUGCAAGGAGAAGCUUCUAACUUACUCCUUAAGCGGUUCAACUCCGUUUCUACCCUU
rnacentral:tRNA from 1 species